rnacentral:rRNA from 1 species
UACAGAGGGGGCUAGCGUUAUUCGGAAUUAUUGGGCGUAAAGGGCGCGUAGGCGGCCAUGCGUGUCUUCCGUGAAAUCCCUCGGCUUAACUGAGGACGUGCGGAAGAAACUGCAAGGCUCGAGUCCGGGAGAGGGGGGUGGAAUUCCUGGUGUAGCGGUGAAAUGCGCAGAUAUCAGGAAGAACACCCGUGGCGAAGGCGGCUCUCUGGGACGGUACUGACGCUGAGACGCGAAAGCGUGGGGAGCGAACAGG